CAUUGAAACUUCUUUUGUAAGUGCGCUACGUGGCAUCAUAUGGUUGAAUUGGAAGAAUGUUUCCAAAAUUAUAUAUAUAAAUAUAUGAUAUUAGUGGGUUAAAAAUAUAUAUUUGAAAAUAAUUGCCGCUAAAGGAUAAUAAAAUAAUAAUAAUAGUGGCCGUUUGAUAAUCACCGCUAAUAAAUUGCCGCUAAAACUCAGUUUUGUUGUAGUGCUUCCAUUUAGAAUUUGAGAGAGAUUUUCUACCCUUUAGGUGAGUUUUGCCAUAUCCUUGGGUGGAUUUUUAGAUG
rnacentral:lncRNA from 1 species